rnacentral:tRNA from 2 species
GCGGGAUUAGCUCAGCUGGAUAGAGCGUUGGCCUCCGGAGCCAAAGGCCACAGGUUCGAAUCCUGUAUCCCGCG